UGCUGCAUCUAUUAGUCUAUAGCUGUAUAGUGUGACUAGAGGCAGUACACUUGGGAGACUUGUCUACACCACUUGUUCUGACCUAUGAACAACUGGAUGAUUGAUAGUCUGACACA
ensembl:snoRNA